UGGGGAAUCUUGCGCAAUGGGCGAAAGCCUGACGCAGCGACGCCGCGUGAGCGAUGAAGGCCUUCGGGUUGUAAAGCUCUGUGGGGAGAGAAGAAUAAGGGCUGGCUAAUAUCCAGUCUGAUGACGGUAUCUCCUUAGCAAGCACCGGCUAACUCUGUGCCAGCAGCCGCGGUAAUACAGAGGGUGCAAACGUUGUUCGGAAUUACUGGGCGUAAAGAGCGUGUAGGCGGCUAAGCAAGUCGGAUGUGAAAUCCCGUGGCUCAACUGCGGAAGAGCAUUCGAUACUGCAUAGCUAGAGUCCCGGAGAGGAAGGUGGAAUGCUUGGUGUAGAGGUGAAAUUCGUAGAUAUCAAGCGGAACACCGGUGGCGAAGGCGGCCCUCUGGACGAGGACUGACGCUGAGACGCGAAAGCGUGGGGAGCAAACAGG
rnacentral:rRNA from 1 species